AGAGUUUGAUCAUGGCUCAGGAUGAACGCUGGCGGCGUGCCUAAUACAUGCAAGCCGAGCGAGGUUCUUCGGAACCUAGCGGCGGACGGGUGAGUAACACGUGGGUAACCUGCCUGUAAGACUGGGAUAACUUCGGGAAACCGAAGCUAAUACCGGAUAAUUCCGAGCAUCGCAUGAUGCUUGAUGGAAAGGCGGCUUCGGCUGUCACUUACAGAUGGACCCGCGUCGCAUUAGCUAGUUGGUGAGGUAACGGCUCACCAAGGCGACGAUGCGUAGCCGACCUGAGAGGGUGAUCGGCCACACUGGGACUGAGACACGGCCCAGACUCCUACGGGAGGCAGCAGUAGGGAAUCUUCGGCAAUGGGCGAAAGCCUGACCGAGCAACGCCGCGUGAGCGAUGAAGGCCUUCGGGUCGUAAAGCUCUGUUGUUAAGGAAGAACAAGUACGAGAGUAACUGCUCGUACCUUGACGGUACUUAACGAGAAAGCCACGGCUAACUACGUGCCAGCAGCCGCGGUAAUACGUAGGUGGCGAGCGUUAUCCGGAAUUAUUGGGCGUAAAGCGCGCGCAGGCGGUUUCUUAAGUCUGAUGUGAAAGCCCACGGCUCAACCGUGGAGGGUCAUUGGAAACUGGGAAACUUGAGUGCAGAAGAGGAAUGCGGAAUUCCACGUGUAGCGGUGAAAUGCGUAGAGAUGUGGAGGAACACCAGUGGCGAAGGCGGCUUUCUGGUCUGUAACUGACGCUG
rnacentral:rRNA from 1 species